CGGUCAUCAUUUCCCCCACCCCACCAAACCCUUUCAGCUUCUCUUCACGAGCCCCGACCCCCACCCACUCUUGCAUGUGAGAGGAGAGCAGGGGGCGGCGAUGGUUCCUGGGCAGUGGCCAGAUCGCCGGAGUCCCCAUCGGCGACACCAACUAGUGUGAGGAGGAGGAGGAGGCGCUGUUGGCUGUCUGGCCAGCUGAUCUAAAGGUGAGCAGAUCUAGGUAUGCGUGGGUUACACCAUCAGUCUGAUUUUAGUUGAUUUUUUUGUCUGUGUUGUUUUAUGCCCUCUUUUUCUAAAUGGAGAGAUUUUAAGUAUGAUAUUAAAUUCAACUUGCUUUAUGGUUUUUGUGUUUAUGGAUUCUAUCAUGGACACUAUUCUAACACUCCACACUAGUUAUCAUUUAUUUUUGCUCUUCGUAAAAUUUGAUGUUCUGGACUUCAAGUACCAGCUUUUGUAUAGCAGUCGAGAUGUUGGUAAUGUAACAAAAUCCAUUCAUUUGGAGUGAAAUUUUGUAUUCUCACUCAUGUGUUUCUUAAUUUUUUCCAAGGAGCAUUUCCCCCCCACUAAACUGCGCUGCUAGUUGCAUUCGCAAAGGUAGGAAUGCAAUGUGAUGUACCCUUCCUGUUCAUCAAUUAUUUUAUGUUGUAACUUUUCUGUUUAUUUUGGAGUAAUUUUUAUUACACAAUUUGUCAAAUUAUAACUUGGGUUUUCCUAUUCAAUUAUUGAUCUGUUCUUUUAGUUAUAGUUCAUAAUUAUAUAAUUUACAUUGUACAUUUUGAUAUACUCUUUAAUUCUGACACUUAUUCUAUGUUAUAAACUUUGAUAUUGUUUUUGUCUUUACGUAAUUUAUCAUGGACACUUAUUCUAACAAUCUAGACUAGUUAUAUUUUACUUCUAAAAUUAAAUCAUAUUUUUCUCAUGUAAAAUAAUGGUUGAUCUGUUGGUUGUGCGGGUGUAAACCUUUUUGCAGAGUGCUUUUCUUCAACAUUUUUUUUUGCCUAGGGGGAUUUGACUGGAGUAGUGCGAUGGUAUGGAUUUGUAGCAUAUCAGCUAGCCUCUACCAAAAAAAUUCUAUCAUACUUUUUCUCCAUUUCUUCUCUACAUAGUAGCAUAGUUGUCUGCUAUAUUUGUGUCAUUAUUUUUUUUGGUUAUCUUUGUACUAUUCUGUCUCUAUUUUCUCUCUCUUAUUAAUUGUUUUGAUUAGUUCUCUUUCCCCAUAUAUAUCGCUGUGUGUUUCUUUGUACCAGUGAGCAUAGCUGUAAGAAUUUUCUUGGUUUGAAAAAUUUUAAUCACUUUAGCUAAGCCAAAUUUUCUGAUGCUAUUUUGACCAUAUUUACUUUGUUUUCUUCACUGCCUGGGUCGUUUUUUGUUUGUAUUUCUGUGGUUUACUGUCUAUUAUGGUUUUUGCAUGGCAUUCUAUAUAUCCCAGCUAAAGUUAAUUGAAUUAAGUAAUCUGUGAUCCCACCUUAUUACAAUUAGUGGCCAUGUCAUUGUUUUGAGUUAUACACUGUACCUUUUUUGACACAAGUAAUCUGUGAUCUCAUCUGAUUGAAAAGUUAUAGCUUCUACUUUUUCAUUAAGGGUAAUAUGAUGUAGAAUGUUGUAGAACUAAGGAGAUUACAUGGCAUUAACCAAAAGGUCAGGCAGUACCAGCAUAGGGUGAAUAUCUAGUAUUAUAGUCUCUAGAAAAAAAUUAUUGUUAAUUUAUACCAUACUUUGUCUUAGCUGUAAGUCAAAUUAUAUAGCAUAUUUUUUUCUUAAUUAGUGGCAAGUUAUUAUUUUUUCUAACAUUUUGUUAAGACAGCACCACCAUAUGAGAACUUGCUCCAUUCUUUUUUUUUUGUUUUGUAGCUCCUGCUACAAUCAUAGCUUUUGCUCAAGAGCCAUCAUCAAGAUGAGCAAUCAGGACGCCGAGGUUGUUGUGAUGAUGUCCAAGAUGAGCCUGAAGAAUUAGUUGAAUCUGAGAGUUUACUUUUUUUUGAGGGGUAUCUGAGAGUUUACUGUAAUAGAUAGAUGUGAUGUGAUGUGAUGUCUAACAUCGCAUCUAUCCAACAAACAAAAGGCCCAUAGGGACAACAUAUUUUUUUUAAUCGGGCCAGAUGUAAAUGUGUCUCACUGUCCACAGGUACAAUAGAAAAAUGAUGUAAUUUCUAUUGGGCUAAUAGUAAAUAAGAUUCAUAGCCAACAGACA